CGGGGGGCUGGGAAGGCAUGCAGUCACCCACCACAGAGCACUUCCACCACGUACACAGAAGACAUGUCAACAGCCUGAAGAGCAGGAGUAACUGCAAGAUAGCACAAAAGAGAGAUGAGGAAACAGACACAGAGAAGGGAAGCAUGUUACCUGAGAUAACACAGUUGGCAUGAACUAUGGAACCAUAAUUCCAACCCAGGAAUUCUUCUUGUAACGACAUCACUCUACUACCUCUUAAUAAGUUUGCUUAUGUUAGCACAUUUCCAAAGAAGACUAAUGGAAUCAUCAUUUCUACAAACUCCACUGUGUCUCUUCUAUGCAAUUCUGAAAAAUAAAAUUAGAGACAUUGGAAAACAGAGAUAUUCUCAAAGCAAUAGCAUGGGUGUGUUAUCAUGCCAGCGAUGUUUGUAUGGACAAAAAUGACCAUCCAAGAAGAAAGUCAGAAUCCCCCAUCUCAGACCAGCAGGGUCUCGUCUGCAGCACCAUGGGAGCUUCUUCAUGCUGUGAUAGGCUCCAAGAAACCAAGCCACAGCUCCCAUGCCCAGAGGUGGUCAUGACUCAAGUGAACUUCGCCUCCUGGGUAUCAAGGACAGUACUGGACACCAUCACCACAUUGAACCAUACCGGCCCUCUGUCCAACUGCACAUCCCCUGCCCUGAGAACCCAAUCAGAUUCCACCUGAUCUCCCUGUGGACUGCAGUGAUCCAUCACCUCAUCAGGACACACAGACAGAUGCACAGGUGCGCGGGCACAGCAGAAUCACAAGAAGGAUCCCACUGGCUAACUGGACCUGAACUCAAAACCCAGCCUGAGAGCCAUUUGCUGACUGAAGGGCCGCACCCGGGGCCUCUCCAUUCCUGAAAGGACACAUAGUGGGCUUCACCUGGAUACUGUGUCACUGCCCCAGAUGCCAAAAUGAAUGGUCCCAGAAGUUCUCAGGUUUUUAUUGUUUUCUUUUUGCUGCUUGGACAAACAAUGAGCUAGAAGCCCUCCCCUUUUAUCUUGAAUUCUCCCCUCCUGAACUUCUGCUACCACAGUGAUAGUUUCACCACUUUGCUAGUCAGCUCACCACUCCUGGACACUGAAUUCAAUCUGACUUUACCAGGCUCUCAGGCCUGCCCCAGGAUUUGGAUGUUAACCUAACAUGACUUACAAGUCUGAGUCCUGCAGGCAGACCUGCUCUGUCUUCAGGCACCAAGUUGCCCUGCAGGACUCCGAGCAGUGGUUCCACUGCCUGAUCACGUGUGUCUUGAACACACCAAGGAAUGGAACAUUACAAAGAAGACUCAAGCCUCAGCCAGAGUUCCAGGGCCUCACAGGGCUGUUUCCACUGAGAUACGAGUCCAGUGACUACCAGCUCCCAGAUCACAUGGCAAAAUAAAUUCCUUCUCCAGAGAAGAUGACCAUUAAGUCAGCUCUUCAUUAUUGAAGAUUAAAGGUUCUAAUGGACAAGAAAGAUGCACAGUAUAAAGGGACAACUGAAAUAAGACCCUUACCAUCGAUCACAAAAUGAUACGUGCAAUGCCUACAUCAGAGCACCUCUUUCAAACAGUUAAAAACACUUAAGCAAAGUGUUUGACUCUUAAGCAAACACAGAAAGGUUUGUAAGCUCAUUAACAAAUGGUCCAGGGAAGAGUAUUUUUGAGAAGGUAGAAAUUUACAGGCAUUUUUGAGAGGAUGUAAGAAAGAGAUUGGUAGAUUACAUUAAAACGAAUUCAUGUCCUCCAGGGCACUAAUAUCUUUACAGUAACCUUUCAUACCUGCAAAAAGGCACUCGCCAAUUUAGUAGAUAACAUCUCAAUUAUAAUCAAAUAGUAAAUGAGUAAGGCAGCCAUGGGAUCAUUCUCCUAGAUAAUUAAGCAGUCAUAGACACCUAUUAAACAAUGCCCUUGUAGAAGACUGAGAGGUCACACUAUCACACAUUCUUUGGCAAUAUUUACAAGCAGUACAGAAUUUUUCUUAAAGUGUGACAAAAAAUAACAUUUAAAGAAUAUAACUUUGGGCUGGGUUGUGGCUCAG